CGCGUAGGCGGUGCGGUAAGUCACCUGUGAAACCUCCGGGCUCAACUCGGAGCCUGCAGGCGAAACUGCCGUGCUGGAGUGUGGGAGGGGUGCGUGGAAUUCCCGGUGUAGCAGUGAAAUGCGUAGAGAUCGGGAGAAACACCUGUGGCGAAAGCGGCGCACUGGACCACAACUGACGCUGAGGCGCGAAAGCUAGGGGAGCAAACAGGAUUAGAUACCCUGGUAGUCCUAGCCCUAAACGAUGGAUGCUUGGUGUAGCCGGUACCCAAUCCGGCUGUGCCGCAGCUAACGCGAUAAGCAUCCCGCCUGGGGAGUACGGUCGCAAGGCUGAA
rnacentral:rRNA from 1 species